rnacentral:rRNA from 1 species
CCUACGGGAGGCAGCAGUGAGGAAUAUUGGUCAAUGGGCGCAAGCCUGAACCAGCCAAGUCGCGUGAAGGAUGACUGCCCUACGGGUUGUAAACUUCUUUUAUAAAGGAAUAAAGUAAGCCACGUGUGCCUUUUUGCAUGUACUUUAUGAAUAAGGAUCGGCUAACUCCGUGCCAGCAGCCGCGGUAAUACGGAGGAUUCGAGCGUUAUCCGGAUUUAUUGGGUUUAAAGGGAGCGUAGGGGGGUUGUUAAGUCAGUUGUGAAAGUUUGGGGCUCAACCGUAAAAUUGCAAUUGAUACUGGCAGUCUUGAGUUCAGUUGAGGUAGGCGGAAUACGUGGAGUAGCGGUGAAAUGCUUAGAUAUAACGAAGAACUCCGAUAGCGAAGGCAGCUUACUAAACUGCCACUGACGUUGAUGCACGAGAGUGUGGGUAGCAAACAGGAUUAGAUACCCGAGUAGUC